UAAAUCAAAACUUUCAACAACGGAUCUCUUGGCUCUGGCAUCGAUGAAGAACGCAGCGAAAUGCGAUAAGUAAUGUGAAUUGCAGAAUCCAGUGAAUCAUCGAAUCUUUGAACGCACAUUGCGCCCGCCAGCAUUCUGGCGGGCAUGCCUGUUCGAGCGUCA
rnacentral:rRNA from 1 species